rnacentral:lncRNA from 1 species
AGGGCUGUGCUAUUUUCAAGACCUGAACCAAUACUGUGAUACUCUGAAACUGGAAUAUACCAUCUUGUGCACUGCAGCUCUGGUUUUGUGAAUGGUUUUUGCAUGAGGUUAAUGUGAUCGCAGACAACCUUGGCCUGGGCUGGCUAAGAAAUUAGGCAAAAUUUUGUGGAUUGCUCACUUGAAUAUACACUCUUGCAUAUUAAUGUUUGAUCCAUAUAUGUUAAUAACAUUUAAUUAAAACUAAUUUACUUGAAAUUUUGUGUAAUUUGCUGUACAGUGACCUUCUGGAGAACUUGUGCAUCUUGCUGUUUAUUCUGAAGUCCUUACUUUCUUAGCUAUCAUGUUACUUUAGCUUGCAAACUGAGAUCAGUAUAUAUAAAUCUAGAAGGUACAGGCUGUUGUCUUAUGAUAUCAUGAACCUCAAAACAAAGCAGGAUACAGGAGUGUUGUUAUUUAGUUUUACAGUAUGUUGUUUGAAGUCUUGUAUUAUAAACAGUAUAUUCUCAUUUGACUACACAGUAUCCACUCAUCAAUCAAAAUUCAGGUGGUGUAAGCAUAAAGCUUAGUGAUUUUGCUGUUUCAUAAUACUGAAUAUUAUGAUGCUAGUUAUCUUGUGUAAUCAAAAGUAGCACAUGCCUCUCUUAACUAGGUCUCAAUUGUUUCAAACUCCAGAAGCUCAGUAAUUCUUGCARUUUGUUUUUCUCCUUUGUAGUUAUGGCUAGAUAAGAAUGCUCUUCCCAGCUAGCACUGGCACAAUUCCCAUAAAACAGAUCAUUGAGAAGUAUGCUCCAAAUACGUCCUGUGAUUCAGAUCCUGGAGCAGACGUCUCAGCUGAUUUCUGGGACAAAGCCUGUGCAAGUAGUAGUAUUGUGCAUCAUGUUUUAGAAGGAAACCAGUAUGUUCAGGUAAGAAAAGUGAGGUGCUCUUCCACAGCAUUGGGUGAUCAAGAGAUCAGAGCUGUAGGAUGCACCUCAGAGCAUGUGGCAUGGAGAUAUGGAUAAAAUUGUUAGUGAGACGUAUAUGUGCAGGGA